UCCCUGGUGGCUUAGCUGGUAAAGAAUCCGCCUGCAGUGUGGGAGACCUGGGUUCGAUCCCUGGAUUGGGAA
rnacentral:tRNA from 1 species